AGGGAAUCUUGCACAAUGGGCGAAAGCCAGAUGCAGCGACGCCGCGUGGGCGAUGAAGGCCUUCGGGUUGUAAAGCCCUUUUCCGAGGGAAGAGAAGGGACGGUACCUCGGGAAUAAGCCUCGGCUAACUACGUGCCAGCAGCCGCGGUAAUACGUAGGAGGCUAGCGUUAUCCGGAUUCAUUGGGCGUAAAGCGUGCGCAGGCGGUCUUGCAAGUCGGGCGUGAAAGCCCUCGGCUCAACCGGGGGAGGUCGUCCGAAACUGCGGGGCUUGAGGUAAGGAGAGGAGAGCGGAGUACCCGGUGUAGCGGUGAAAUGCGUAGAUGUCGGGAGGAACACCAGUGGCGAAGGCGGCUCUCUGGCCUGCACCUGGCGCUAAUGCACGAAAACGAGGGGAGCGAUCGG
rnacentral:rRNA from 1 species